rnacentral:lncRNA from 1 species
UAACAUUUGCCUAACAUUUGCCAUCUUUCCAUAAAAUUCAUCAUCAGAUUCCGGACCCAGAUCACCCUUCUCACUUCUCCAUAAUUCAGGGCAAGGAUAGUCCCAAAUUUUGCACUCUGUUGGGAUAAACUGAACCUGCCUCUUUGGUCUGAGUUCAGGUUUUGCAGGAGAUCUGAAACCUGACAUUCGACGAUCCCCACCCCAGCCAAAAGGUUCAC